rnacentral:lncRNA from 1 species
AUGGGUGCAAGACUGUCUGUAGCACAAAGGGGGAUUUUUAAUCAAGUGAUUGGCAUUUUGCAAAUUGGAGAGAAACCGUUUUCUAAGAAAAAGGUGAAAAAAUUAGUGAAUUGGGUUUUUUUAAAUUUUCCUCAAGUGUCUCCUGCAGAUAUAACUUCUGUUUCCUUUUGGAACAGAGUGGGGACAAAAUUAACUGAAUCUGUGAAUGCUGGAGAUAGUUCAGCAGAGAAAGUAAUCCAUUUGUUUGUUUUGAUUAGACUAACCCUUAUUGAAAAAAAGGAAAAAAGGUUAUCCAAUCCUAACCCUGAUAACCCUGUUUCUUUACCUCAACCCUGUUACCCUAAGCUGGGGGAUUCCUCUCAGCACCCCUGUUCCAGUAGCUCUGGCCAAGCUGUUGGAAACCUUUCCCUAAAACCCAUCUCAGCUCCCUCUCCUACCCCUCUUUACCCUCAAUAUCCCUCUCCUUUUAUUCCUGGUGGUCUUUUGGGUACACAAAAUGGAGGAGACCACACGGUGNNNNNNNNNNNNNNNNNNNNNNNNNNNNNNNNNNNNNNNNNNNNNNNNGAAGGGACAAACCAGGAACAGAGGCCUGCCUUCUUUGCAGCACCUGUAACUUACGGGAGGGGAGGAACAUUACCAGAAUGGAAUGUAAUGUCAUUUCGAUUGAAAAUGGAAUUAUGCAAAGCAGCAAAGGAGUUUGGAAAGGAAAGCCAAUUUUUUAAAAGUCUUUUAAAGGCAACCCUCUCCUCCAACCAAUUGGUCCCACAUGAUUUGAAGGGUUUGUUUUCUUGCCUUCUAUCCCCAGGAGAAUAUUUGCUCUGGGAAGGGGCUUGGAAAAGAUUGUUGAAAACCCUUUUGGAAGAAUUACUGAGCAGUGAUUUUGAGGCUUUAGAUGAAAGGGGUAAAAUAAUUACCAUGAAUAAUUUAUGUGGCGAAGGUGAUUGGAGUGAACCUAUUGACCAGGCCCAAAAUUUGCCAAAAGGAGUUAGAGAGAAAAUAAAGAAAGCUGCAGAGAAAGCAUUUUUCAAUAUUCCUCUUUCUGAAUCUGUGGUUCCCUAUGCUCAAGUUAAACAGCGUUCUGAUGAAAGAUUUGUAGAUUUUGUGAAUAGAUUAAAGGUACAGAUUGAAAGACAAGUGCAGAAUACCACCCUGCACUCUGACUUGCUGUUGGAAAUGGCUCGAGUGAAUGCGAACGAAGCCUGCAAAGCACUGAUUCGGGUGCUGCCGAAGGAACCACCACCGACCUUGACAACUUUAAUCGAGAUGUGUACAGAUGUAAUCAGCACUUCAAUGCCAACGACUGAGGAUUCCCAGAGAACCCCAGGAAGGAUUGCAGCCACAACUGUACCUACUCUGCCAUCGCCAGCCAAGCCAAAGGGACUGUUCACCUGUCAUCGGUGUGUACAGCCAGGACAUUUUGCAAAGUUCUGCCAAGUGUCAUAUCCUAACAAGCAAGGGCAGGGAAACCGGGAAAAGAGAGGGGGUCCUCAGAACCAAAAAAACUAG